rnacentral:rRNA from 1 species
UACGGAGGGGGCUAGCGUUGUUCGGAAUUACUGGGCGUAAAGCGCACGUGGGCGGCCUUGUAAGAUGGGGGUGAAAUCCCCGGGCUCAACCCGGGAAUUGCCUUCAUGACUGCAAAGCUCGAGGAUGCGAGAGGUGAAUGGAAUUCCGAGUGUAGAGGUGAAAUUCGUAGAUAUUCGGAAGAACACCAGUGGCGAAGGCGAUUCACUGGCGCAUUCCUGACGCUGAGGUGCGAAAGCGUGGGGAGCAAACAGG